GCCGCGGUAGCUCAGUGGUAGAGCGCAUCAUUGGUAAUGAUGAGGCCGAGAGUUCAAUUCUCUCUCGCGGCACCA
rnacentral:tRNA from 5 species